GAUGAACGCUGGCGGCGUGCCUAAUACAUGCAAGUCGAGCGAACAGACGAGGAGCUUGCUCCUCUGACGCUAGCGGCGGACGGGUGAGUAACACGUGGAUAACCUACCUAUAAGACUGGGAUAACUUCGGGAAACCGGAGCUAAUACCGGAUAAUAUAUUGAACUGCAUGGUUCAAUAGUGAAAGACGGUUUUGCUGUCACUUAUAGAUGGAUCCGCGCCGCAUUAGCUAGUUGGUAAGGUAACGGCUUACCAAGGCAACGAUGCGUAGCCGACCUGAGAGGGUGAUCGGCCACACUGGAACUGAGACACGGUCCAGACUCCUACGGGAGGCAGCAGUAGGGAAUCUUCCGCAAUGGGCGAAAGCCUGACGGAGCAACGCCGCGUGAGUGAUGAAGGUCUUCGGAUCGUAAAACUCUGUUAUUAGGGAAGAACAAAUGUGUAAGUAACUAUGCACGUCUUGACGGUACCUAAUCAGAAAGCCACGGCUAACUACGUG
rnacentral:rRNA from 1 species